UGGAGUUCUGACGCUAGAUUUGUAGUCACAUAGAGCUGGAGAAGGGCAGGGAAGUUUUGUCCUUUGGUAACUGUUGAGAUUUUUUUGGGUCACGACCAGGGUUGCCUUCUAACUCAAAUGGAUCUUUGUCUCCUGCCACUUUCAGGUAGCUAAAUUGGUUUAGCUGGUGUCUUCUAGUGAUGGCCGAUUGUUUGGCAGUGGAUUUGUGGCUGUUUGGUGACCA
rnacentral:misc_RNA from 1 species